rnacentral:rRNA from 1 species
AUUGAACGCUGGCGGCAGGCCUAACACAUGCAAGUCGAACGGUAACAGGAAGCAGCUUGCUGCUUUGCUGACGAGUGGCGGACGGGUGAGUAAUGUCUGGGAAACUGCCUGAUGGAGGGGGAUAACUACUGGAAACGGUAGCUAAUACCGCAUAACGUCGCAAGACCAAAGAGGGGGACCCUCGGGCCUCUUGCCAUCGGAUGUGCCCAGAUGGGAUUAGCUAGUAGGUGGGGUAACGGCUCACCUAGGCGACGAUCCCUAGCUGGUCUGAGAGGAUGACCAGCCACACUGGAACUGAGACACGGUCCAGACUCCUACGGGAGGCAGCAGUGGGGAAUAUUGCACAAUGGGCGCAAGCCUGAUGCAGCCAUGCCGCGUGUAUGAAGAAGGCCUUCGGGUUGUAAAGUACUUUCAGCGGGGAGGAAGGGAGUAAAGUUAAUACCUUUGCUCAUUGACGUUACCCGCAGAAGAAGCACCGGCUAACUCCGUG